rnacentral:lncRNA from 1 species
UUUUGUUUUAUUUUUGUUACCAGGCAAUCAGUAUCAAGCCUUUUGGAAUGAUAUAUGCCAGCUGGGUUUUGUGCCUCAUCACACUGGCAGAGAGAAGAGUAUGAAGCCUGCUUGGAGAAGCGGAGGAAGCUGAAAAGGAGGCAAAGAGUGAGGACAGAGAGACAAGAUGGAAGUGGGGAAGGAAAACAAGGAUGAGAGAAUGCCAGGUGGUGCUGAGAAGGAAAGGAGAGACUUUUCUGCUUGUAGAGGGCACACGAUGGCAGAAUCCACUUCUGCAGGGGCAUCUGGCUCCAGAAAUAAUAGGCCGCGUGGCACCCACUCCUUCAAAACGGUGUGCUGGGGCAGAGAAAAGAUUGCAAAUGACUGAUCUAUGUCACAAGAACAAUUCACUAGACAGCCCUAGUUGCCUAAGGCAAGGAGUGGUAACAGUUGUGGGAAACACCUUGCCUAUUUCAGAAGAAUGAAGGUAAAGAUUUUCAUUCCACAGUUUAUAAUGCUUUUUUUCUGGAAAAUGACAUGUUAUUCCUGUGUGUUUGUCAUGUAGAUGACUCUAGUAUUUGGCCAGAGAUCCAGGGUUGAAAAUCCUUGAGUUCUGUGCAGCUGCUGCCACUUCCUGUGAUGAUUCCUAGAGAAAUAUAGAGAUACAAGUAAUGCAGAGCAUGUUCUAUAGUUCUUUUUUUUUCUUUUUAUUUUAUUUUAUUUUAUUUUUUUUUAUUGCAUUUUAGGUUUUGGGGUACAUGUGAAAAACAUGCAAGUUGUUGCAUAGGUACACACGUGGCAGUGUGAUUUGCUGCCUUCCU